rnacentral:lncRNA from 1 species
GGGGGGGGUGAAUUGGUGUUAGUUCAAAUAUAAAAUCUUUUCGCAAUCUUGGUAUGAAAAUUCAAAGCUUUUGAUCUUUCCUUGAAAUGCAAGUUAUUGAAAAAUGUAAUGCAGCGGAAAAACGUAGUUGACUGCUAGACAGAUAUAGUCGACUGAAUUAAAAGAGUGCAGGGAUAGAAAAAUCAAACACUGAUUUUUAUAC